AGUUGAUCCUGGCUUAGGAUGAACGCUAGCUACAGGCUUAACACAUGCAAGUCGAGGGGCAGCAUGUUGGUUGCUUGCAACCAAUGAUGGCGACCGGCGCACGGGUGAGUAACGCGUAUCCAACCUUCCCCUUAGUAGAGGAUAGCCCGGCGAAAGUCGGAUUAAUACUCUAUGUUCUUCAAUGCGGACAUCUAAGUUGAAGCAAAGAUUUAUCGCUAAGGGAUGGGGAUGCGUCUGAUUAGGUUGCAGGCGGGGUAACGGCCCACCUGGCCUACGAUCAGUAGGGGUUCUGAGAGGAAGGUCCCCCACACUGGUACUGAGACACGGACCAGACUCCUACGGGAGGCAGCAGUGAGGAAUAUUGGUCAAUGGGCGCGAGCCUGAACCAGCCAAGUAGCGUGCCAGGACGACUGCCCUAUGGGUUGUAAACUGCUUUUAUCAGGGAAUAAAGUGAGGCACGCGUGCCUUUUUGUAUGUACCUGAUGAAUAAGGACCGGCUAAUUCCGUGCCAGCCGCGGC
rnacentral:rRNA from 1 species